CGCUAUGUUCUUCCUUCAUUAAAACUCUGAGGGGGUGAACUUUUUCGUAACUACCUCUAUAUCGCUAUAAUAAGCGAUAUAGUGGUUUGAAAUUUACGUGACGUCACAGUGAGCUGCGCCCUCCCUUCUCCUUACUUUUUCCUGUGUCAUUGAACACAACUCGAGACUUUCGAAACCUCCCACUCAGUAUCGGAUGAAUAACACAGUUUGAUGUUUUGCUUGUUCUGCUGACGGACACGUUAAAGACGUCUGCGCUCCCGUUUCUGUGCAUGUCCAGCAUGAGACAACUGGAAUUCAACCACAUUGAACACCGACUUCAGGGACAGACGAGCCUGAAGGACACAGCUGUGAUGACCAUGUUCUGUCUCUUAUGGCAAAGCAGAAAUAUAAAACACUGGGUUCUUAUCUAAAGUGUAUCAAAUCAGAUCUCCACCAUGUUGCUGCUGAGGACAUCAGGUGCUGCAGUUCUUCAUCUAUGAAGAGAAAAAACGCACUGUUAAAGAAUGUUUUGUGUUGUGUAUAAAGCACAACAGAUUUCUGAUAGAACUGUUGUACUGUGGUCUUGGUUUAUAUCCUCAUGGUGAAAUGUACAUAUUUUAAGUCCCUUCUGAUAAAAGUGCUGAAAGAAAUACAACAUUGUACAAAUACAUAAAAUGUCUUUCUACCUCAUCAGUACUAUUCAAGGUGAUAAUCUCCCACAGACCUAUUGAUAACAGUCCAAAUCAAGUCUUUCCACUUCUCUCAGUGUGAAAACAUAAUUCUAUAAUUAAUUUGAGAACUGUUUACAACACUGAUGUGUGGAGAUUAAAAUCAUACCUAAACUGUCUAAUUCACUGUAAAACUCCAUGACAUUCGCAGGCCAUCUGUAGUUAAGGGAGCAACGCAUGGAAUGAUGUGUAGAUUACUAGUUUGAUGAUGCAUGAGGAGAGGCGGUGGUCGAGUGGCAGAAACUUGGACUAUGGGCAGAGAAGGUCUCUGGUUCGUCUUUGGUUCGACUCCAUGGAGAGACAACAAAAGUCGAACCUGGAUUGAUCUGUCCAAAAAUCCAAGAGUCUCCCUACCCUCUCUAGUGCCCAUGAGCAAGGCACCUCACUCCCCCAACAUCUGCUCCCCCGAGCGCCGUACAUGGUCGCUCACUGCUCUGUGUGUCCUGCACCAGAUGGGUAAAAAGCAGCGAUUAAAUUUCCCUACCUGCAUGAGUGUGCCUUUGCAUGUCUGUGCAUGUGUUUGGGAUGAAUAAAUGGAUUUUAAUCUUAA